GCUUUGGUGCCUUCGGGAACUCUGAGACAGGUGCUGCAUGGCUGUCGUCAGCUCGUGUUGUGAAAUGUUGGGUUAAGUCCCGCAACGAGCGCAACCCUUAUCCUUUGUUGCCAGCGGCUCGGCCGGGAACUCAAAGGAGACUGCCGGUGAUAAACCGGAGGAAGGUGGGGAUGACGUCAAGUCAUCAUGGCCCUUACGGCCAGGGCUACACACGUGCUACAAUGGCGCAUACAAAGAGAAGCGACCUCGCGAGAGCAAGCGGACCUCAUAAAGUGCGUCGUAGUCCGGAUUGGAGUCUGCAACUCGACUCCAUGAAGUCGGAAUCGCUAGUAAUCGUAGAUCAGAAUGCUACGGUGAAUACGUUCCCGGGCCUUGUACACACCGCCCGUCACACCAUGGGAGUGGGUUGCAAAAGAAGUAGGUAGCUUAACCUUCGGGAGGGCGCUUACCACUUUGUGAUUCAUGACUGGGGUGAAGUCGUAACAAGGUAGGCGUAGCGAG
rnacentral:rRNA from 1 species